UACCAGCACCCCGAGUGGUCGGGACGUUUAUUGGGCCUAAAGCAUCCGUAGCCGGUUCUACAAGUCUUCCGUUAAAUCCACCUGCUUAACAGAUGGGCUGCGGAAGAUACUAUAGAGCUAGGAGGCGGGAGAGACAAGCGGUACUCGAUGGGUAGGGGUAAAAUCCGUUGAUCCAUUGAAGACCACCAGUGGCGAAGGCGGCUUGCCAGAACGCGCUCGACGGUGAGGGAUGAAAGCUGGGGGAGCAAACCGG
rnacentral:rRNA from 1 species